rnacentral:SRP_RNA from 1 species
GGGUAUAGUUUUUAAUAAGAUUUUAAACAAGCUUAUUUUGUCAGGAUCGUAAGAUAGCAGCAUAAAGUUUGUCUUAAAUAUUUGUAUUAAUGCUAUACCUUUUAUUUUU